rnacentral:misc_RNA from 1 species
GGGGGACCUAUUUGUAGUUGAAAGAGUAAGCAAGCCUUUACGGGAUGCUGUUGUUGGAGAUCCACUUUUAUGGAAAAAUAUUAACAUAGUUCCUCCAUUUUGUACUAAUAUCACAAAUGAUAUCCUUAUAAACUUGACGAAUAGGGCUCAGGGCAAUCUUCAUUCUCUCAGUCUAUUUCACUGCUCAAAGCUCACCGAUGCUGGUAUGAAGCAUGUACUUGAUAGGAAUCCUAACCUGUCAAAGUUAAAUGUCCAAGGAUGUGCGAGACUCACAGCAGAUGGUAUGCUCUCUAACUUAAAAGACUGGAAGACUGCUGGAAAAAAUAGACUUAAAUAUUUAGGGAUUUAUGGAUUGUCUGGCUUGACGGACAAGCACAUGGAUGAGUUCAAGCUCUUAACAGGUGUAGAUAAUAGCAAGCUGCCAACUACUCGUAAGCCACAAUUUUUUGGUGGUGGCCGGCCGCGUGUCAUUUUUGACGAUGACCGUGAUAUUGACGUUGAAGUUUGCCC